AAAUUAGCGUCGAUGAGUUCGCGGCGAUGACGGAACGGUGGAAAUCAAAACAUGGGGACGUUUUUUAUUUAUUUAUUUCUUUUCGUUAUUUGGAGGUGAAUUGCAAAAAAUAAAAUAAAGAUCUUACUAACUAUUCCCACAUUUUCGGGAAUUUCUCCACUCGUAGAGCGUGACCACUUUUAAGGACAUUUCUUUAGGGAAACGGCGGGGCAGACGUCAAGACAUUCGUUGGGCCACGGGUGACAGUCGGUCGGGCGGGGCAGCAGGUGGGACAGUAAGCGUGGGGAGCCAAGUUUUCAAGUGCAUAUUUCAUAUACUUUCUUGAGUCCUAUGAACUUAAGUCGUACAUAGGUAGUUAGAUAUUUUUUUAAACGUUAUUGCAUUUUUUUGAAUUCAAUAAUGAAAGAAUAAAUUAUUCAAAAUUCCAUCGUUCCUCCGUUCCUCCUACACUAGCGAUAUUCUUGUCGAUUAAUAUUGUCAGAGUAAUCUUUUCUGCAAAAUACCACAAAUUAGUCCAACGAUAUCGAUUGGCACAAUCAUCGAUUAAAGUUUAAAAAAUGACGACCGGCCGCAAUAAAUUGAAUUUCUAGUUGGUUAAAAUUCCUGGCCAACUAUUUCCUGCCGUCUAUCACUUUCUGCAUCCAGGACACGUAUUUACUGACGCGCGUGUAGAUUCCGGGCAAACCUGGACGUGCACAGCCGAUCCCCGUGGACACCACGCCCACCAGAUGAUGCUCCUUGGACAUCAGCGGACCGCCAGAAUCCGCCUGUGAAGUCGUAUUGCGGAUGGGGCACAAUGUUCUUGAAGUCCACCCUCAGUGCAUCCGGACCGUUGCCAAUCCCGUUGAGGUACUCCCUGAUGCUAUGCAAACCCACAACUCCUUGGAUUUGAGCUGGUUUCAUGAACUGCUGCAGCCCAUUGCAGAUGCAAUGUCCCGCCGUGAGGAUCCAUCGCUCCGAGAUGAUAGUGCCGCCACAAAAGUGACCACCACGACGCAUCAGACUGACCAUGUAGGGCAUUUCGUUGCGCUCCGCCUCACUACCUCCCACGAUUUUUGGAUUUCGAACCGAGCAUGGCUGGUUGCUAACUGUCAUGGGAGUCAGAGGAAUUUCAAUUUGCGUGAGUUCAUGAUAAGGAGUGUUGAAAAUAAUUAGUUAAUAUAAGCAGAACGCAUUUAUUUAUAUUUCUCAUAAUCUAGUAAACUUUUCCUUAUGCACGUUUUAUGAUUAUACAAGUUUUGAUAGAAUCUUGAAAUAUUUGUAGGUUGAGUUCUUAUCAAAUAGGGAAGCAUAAACUGUUGCAAUUGGAACAUUAGAUGUUAGAUUUAUCCAGUGAAUUUAGCAUAUAAAUCCACAAUGCUAAAAGAUCAUGCUUUCUUAAUUGAUAUAAACUAACCUAAAAUAUUAAGGACUGCAAAAAUGAAUGGAAUAUUAAACACAAGUUAAAAGUUAAAAGGUAGUUCCCAGGAAUCCUAAUUUAGGAACUAUAAUUAUUUUAUUUUUCAUAUUAUAUUUGACUUAUUACUCUUUUCGUCACAUUUGUUCAAUCAACUCACAAGCAAUUUGGGAUUGUGCACACUUCACUAGCGACAGAACCGCGACUACGAAUACGAUUUUCAACAUUUUCUGUGUGCACAACCAGUGUUCUUAGCCCCGAAAAAAAACCCGUUAAGCACGGCUCAAGCUUAAACGAAACUGCCACGAAUAUUCUGUGCGGCAAUUAAUUUAUAUAUAGGUGUCUGGGCGUCCAGCGCCUCUCCGUUCCACUGACUUACUUCACUGUCGUCCGGAGUUCUAUGCGGAUUAGCCGGAAAGCUCGCUCUCUCGGCCUGAUAACAAACGGAAGUCGCAGCCGGGCCUUUGGCACCUGUUGCCUCAGCUGAGAGCUUUUUUUGCGCUGCACUACCUGUCUCAUCGCCUUUUUUUUUUUUGCUGGUAUUGUGGGCAUGGGUGCCAUGUGCACACGUUAUGGCAUUUCAAUUGCUCCAAGGGGGGGGGGGGUGAAUUAAGGAGCUGCCGAAAAGUCGAAAACAAACCCAAAAGUAAACAAUGGCCGAAAUAAAGUUUUGUGUGUUUUGCGUUUUAUGACCCAGCGAAGUUCAUGACAUUGAAAAGUGCGCGACAAAAGGUGUGACAAUAUUUAUGCUGAAUUUUCGAUGCCACCACUACGAGUUUAUUGCACCUCUAUCCUUAUUUUAGUACAUUAUUAUUGCGAUUAGCACGUAUUUAGGGUGUUAUUGAAAUUGUUGUAUGGUUAAUAAAGAAAAGGGUGUAAAUAUUAUUAUGACUUGUUAAUCAACUGAAAUGCUAUUGCAUAACUACAGAAAAUUUUAUAAAUGAUUCAAAACCAACUCUUUUGAUUUUAAAUUUCUUUUUGCUUGCAUGUAGUAUCUUUUAUUUCUUCAGUUCUUAUGAUUUACAAUGCAUUUUUGUGUUCCUACAAGAUCUAAUUUAUCUAAUCUAUCUUAAGAAAGUUAAAAAAGUUUCUAGGAUUUGCGUAAUCGUUACAGUUAUGUCAUUGCCUGCAUUUGACACAAUUAGUUCGCACAUUGCAGCUAACCUUAGACGUCAUAUUUCCAUCAGUUUAGACCUGGUAGUUAGUAAUCGGGCCUGUUAUGCAAAUUAGGAUGUCUGCGCUGCAUAUGAAUACUGUGAUGGGACCAAAAAUUAAUUGAAAUUCAAUGUCGGCGCAAUCAAUGUAAUAUUAGCCGCUUGACAUUAACAUUGCCCUUAAAACUAACGCAUGGCCCACACACUCAAUGCAAUUGGCGACAUGGGAAGGUUGAUACACCAUCCAUCGCAUAUCAAAGUGAUAAAUGCAGGUGGAAGUGCAUUUCUAUGACAUAAUAUGUAUUAUAAGCAAUAGCAUGCCAAAAAUGAUGGGUAUUGAAGUGGGCAAAGCAGGAAUUGGAAUUGAAACUGAAAGUUAAGACGGAGUAUGACAAAUCUACAGACCAAGGCAUUAAUAAUUCAUUAUCCACAAUCUCGAUUCUCAGUCGGAGCACACAAAUCAGUUCAGUGGAUCAGACAAGUAUGCCAGAAUUACUAAUUGAUUUCAUGACUUUGGUUCCUUAACCGAAAACCAGAUAGCAUCCCAAUCGAGUUCAUUGAUCGCGGCAGCUCUGUUUCGCACUAAAUGCUAAUUCACUAAACAAAUCGCCCAUAAAAAACACUAUAUAUCCAUUGUCUGCCGUUGACUGGCGUUGAUACCAAAUAACCAAAUAUAAACAAUAUUAACAAACACGAGUGCGGAGCUCAACUGAAACAAGUUUCAGGCGCAUUGACACCCGCCUUUGGGCGAAACUUGGGCGCAUUCAAUGUGAAGGUCGCUUCGAUUUGAGGUACUUGAGUUAUGCUUGACAAUUGUCAUAUUAUUCAGCUAUUUCGCUACACUUUUGUUUUCAUUUCGACGAAGUUCAACGACGCCGCUCUCAGGUGACUAAUUGCAAGGGGGAAGUCUUUGGACGUCGCUAAUGCGGGUGUGUUUGGCGCUAUAGGAAAUGUUUUGGGGCGCAGUGAACCCAUUUAACUGGCAGGUAUUUAUAGGAAUCACGAAUGGGUGGUAGUGGGUUAUAAACAAAAACAUUUAGCAUAGAUGCUUCAGUUAUGAAAUUUAACUGUUUAUUAUCUUCUUAAUUGUGACUUAAUUAAACUAGGUAUGUAAUUAUAGUUUAUAGUUUUCGUAGUGAGUAGGCUUUAAAUAAAACAUUACGUUAUAAAAUGGAACUAUCUACAAUCGUAUAAAUUGCAAUUUAACUAUAUAUAAUUAUAGCUUAUAGUUUUCGAUUGAAUUUCGAGUGAGUAGUGGUUUCUAAAUAAAACACAAGGAUGCUUAAGUUAUGAAAUUGAACUGCCUAGAAUCAUAUAGAUCACAAUUUCAGUAAUUUAUCAGUUUAUAUCUUUAAUUAAUGGGA
rnacentral:lncRNA from 1 species